rnacentral:rRNA from 1 species
UAACGAUACGGGACUCAUCCGAGGCCCCGUAAUCGGAAUGAGUACACUUUAAAUCCUUUAACGAGGACCCAUUGGAGGGCAAGUCUGGUGCCAGCAGCCGCGGUAAUUCCAGCUCCAAUAGCGUAUAUUAAAGUUGUUGCGGUUAAAAAGCUCGUAGUUGAAUCUGUGUGCCACGCUGUCGGUUCAUCGCUCGCGAUGUUUAACUGACAUGAUUGUGGGACGUCCUACCGGUGGGCUUGCCUUUCGGGGCGGUCCAGCUAAUAUCCCAUCGCGGUGCUCUUCAUCGAGUGUCGAGGUGGGCCGGUACGUUUACUUUGAACAAAUUAGAGUGCUCAAAGCAGGCUAUGUUCGCCUGAAUAUUUUUUGCAUGGAAUAAUGGAAUAGGACCUCGGUUCUAUUUUGUUGGUUUUCGGAACCCCGAGGUAAUGAUUAAUAGGGACAGAUGGGGGCAUUCGUAUUGCGACGUUAGAGGUGAAAUUCUUGGAUCGUCGCAAGACGGACAGAAGCGAANGCAUUUGCCAAAAAUGUUUUCAUUAAUCAAGAACGAAAGUUAGAGGUUCGAAGGCGAUCAGAUACCGCCCUAGUUCUAACCAUAAACGAUGCCAGCUAGCGAUCCGCCGAAGUUCCUCCGAUGACUCGGCGGGCAGCUUCCGGGAAACCAAAGCUUUUGGGUUCCGGGGGAAGUAUGGUUGCAAAGCUGAAACUUAAAGGAAUUGACGGAAGGGCACCACCAGGAGUGGAGCCUGCGGCUUAAUUUGACUCAACAC